CAGAAAACUGAUUUUCCCCGUGUGCUGCUGUAGGUGCUACUGAAGAGUGGCAAACGCAGCCCCUCCCCAGAGAAAUAAGUUGUCUGUAUAAACAGAUAGGCCUGGAGGAGAGGUGGGAACAGACACCAGCCAGCAGAUCGAACAGCACACAUUGGACGCAAGCAGUCCCAGACCGUGCUCAACACACGUGCUCUUCCAAGAGUCACACGGUCCACGAUGUCUUCAUAGAUUCUUCACACAAUUUUUCUCAACUAAAUCUUGUUAUUUUUUCCUCUGAAGAUGUAGUGUUUUUUUUUCUUCACAAAUAAUGCAAACAAUAAUUCCACAAAUUUGGCAAAGUUACAAAAAUGUUUAACAGCUUCUUCUCGGUUUUAAUUUUAAGCAUGCAAGGAAGUCGGGUUUUGUUCAAGACUCUCCUGAGGCAAACAUAUUUGUUCUUUUUGCCAGCUAGGUCCCUGCUUUGGGAGACUCCGCCAAGCUUGACUGUGGUUUUAUUUGUUUGUUUACUUUUGUAGGGCAGUCUUCUCUCUGUUAUCCUGGUUUGAGGUGAGUUCGUUUCGUUUUCAUUUCUCUUUUGGAGCACAAGCCUCAGGAUACAGACUCUUGGUUUCCAAUCGUCAGAGAGGUCUUAACGUCACACAUAGAUUGCGUGGAAUGAUUGUGGUAUUUGGUAAACUUGCACCGUCUCUCACUUAUGGAAAGCCCACCAGUAACACUUGACACUUCACACACGUUGUAUGCUAUGCUCACAGACUGAGAGGGAUUCAGAAGGCAUUAAGUAGAUAUAAUUGUAAAAAGCCCUUGACCUAGCAAAGUAGGACUAUAACAUCUAGGUGUGACAAUAGUCUUUAAAGAAGUCUUUACUUUUAAAGCAUACGUUUUUUAAUUAUGAAGAAGAGUGAGGAGGAAAGAAAUCCCCCCCCCCCGACGUCCUUCCCUGCCCUCACUGCCCUUUUGUUCACAUCCGGCAAUGGAGCCUGCAGCCUUCUGAGUGUGGAGUGGGGGCCAGCACUUUCCCACUGAGCCAUAUUCCCAGCCUGCGCACAUUUUGUAGAAUUGACUCUAAACUCUACAUGACGUAGGAAGUCGUAGGAUUACCUACCACUCAGAGGAGCAGGAUGUGCACCAACGGCUGAGGUCAUUUGGAAACAUGUCACCUGUUCCCAGAGAACCGUGGCUUCCGCAGUAUUCAGCAGCUGCCGUUACUGCUUAUGUAGUAAAUGGGAAUCAGUAUGCAGUCAAGGUGGACUUACUACUAUACCGCUCGGGUCAGCAUCAAGGUUAUAUGGUCCAUCCAUAUAUGACAGACAGCACUUUAGCUGACAUUGGCAAUUAGAAGUAAAACGACCCAGAAAUCUUCCAAGAAUAUAUUUAUUACCAUAUAAGCAUACACACCAUUGUUACUUAUUAACAAAUGGAAUAAAUUUACUUAAAUAGCUUGUUUUGCUCAGUCCACUGAAGUAUUUUUGUAAGCUAUUUGUAAAUUUCACAGAUUGGUGAUUGCAAUCAAAAUUUGAGUGAUUUCCAAAAAUUAACUUAAUAAAAAUGUUGUAUUUGCAUGCCUAUGUUCUUUUUAGUACAGAACACUUUUUAGUAACAUCACAAAUAAGGGCAAUUUGUUGAAGGGGUUUCUAGUGUUUGCUUUAAAUGAUUUUAUUGUUUAUAUGCAUAUAUGUACAUGUGUGUGCAUGCACACGUGCAUGUAUUCAUUGGCAUUUAUACCAAGUUCAGCAAAGUUGAAAUGGUGGUGACUUUGCCAUUUCAAAAAGAACAGCCUCUCUCCUUGGACCCUCCUGUCCCAGUGACCUUCAUGACACAGGAGACCCUCAGAUAUUGUACUCACCGGGACUUUUCACUGUCUCUGUUUCAAACCUCAGCACUCAGGAUUUGUUUAAAGGCAAAACAUUUUGGACACAUUAUGCAUUAUGGUAAAACGCAUCAUACUUCCAUCUUGGCUCACUAUGAAUUACUAAUUUGUCAAGGUCAGAAACCUUACAUCCAGGAACCGGAAAUGCAAAAAUACAUUUUUUAACAUUUUUGGUGAUUUCUUUUUUUCGGCUUGCCAAAUGACCAUAAUUUUACAAUUUGUAUUAAUGUUAUCUUAAAGAGCAAAUUAAUUAAUGGAAAUUUCCAGAGAAGUAGACAUUAUGCCGUCACUUUGCAUGCUGGCUUUGUUUCACUUCUUGCUUUUACAGUCUGGCCUUUUCAUGAAAUUCUCUGGGAAUACUAGUUCAUAGUGUCAAGGGACCUGUACUGACUCUCCCUGUAUCUGUCUUGGAUGAUUUGGGAGUGCUGGGUCUUUAAGAGUCAUUGUAGUGGCCAUCUUUAACAUUGCCUGCUACACAUUUCUGCUGUAUUGGUUUAAUUUGUUAACUCACCACAAGAGUUCCUUAGACUGAGAUUUGGGGGCUGGAGAUGUAGCUCAAAGGUGGAGCAGCGACCUGCCACGUAUCAGGUCCUAGUUUUGGGCAGGGGACAAUUAAGGGGACAUGUAUUACCAGCUUCUGGGGCUUGAGGCGAGGGUACCAGACAGCAUGGUGUAUUCUUAGUCUCACAGGAACCUUGAGUACGGGGUUUUCUCAGUAAACUAAUGUGCAGGCACCAACUUACAGCAUUCUCCAUGAAUCCUAUUGCCUCCUGCAGGCCUAGUGAAGAAUGUCCUGCCAAAGAGUCACCCAGUUUCUACCAAGUGUCUCAUGUUCUCUCAGAAUGGCAUUAGAGGGAACAGAAGUGCAUCUUGACCCGUGUCUGUAUUCUGUGGAAAAUGAGAAGUCAGAGCACCAGGACCGUACGGGAGCUAGGGAGAAGGUAAGAGCCUUACACUGCAGGCAUGAGAGCCUGCGUGGAUCUCACAGAAUGUAUGGAACUGCUAGCGUAACACUACGUGUUUGUGAUCCCAGUGACGGAGCGGCAGAGACAGGAGGAUCCCUGCUUAGCUUUGCUAGCCGGCCGUUCCAGCCAAACUGGCAAGCUCCACGUUCACAGGGGCAGGGUCUCCAACAGUGAUGUGGAGAACAGGAAAGAGCACUGACCUUGACCUUUGGCCUCUAUCCACAUGUGAACUUGCAUCCACACACACAGAUGUGCACAUACAUAUGAAUACACACACACACACACACACACACAAGCACACAAAGACUUUACUUUUGACCCACUUUCCUUCCGUGCAUUUCCUUUUCUUCCAGGAACCCACAAGCCUCUUAUCUAUUUGCUUCAGUGGACACUGCUUUCUGUUCUGAGCAAGCAUGUGAUUCCCAGGUCCCUGUAUAAGACGUGCACACGUGUACUAAGCAGCGGUGAAUCUGCUGUCCCGGGUUCAGAGGGUUCACGUGACAUUAGCACAUUGGGUCCUCCCAGUUCACACUGUGAAGUGUUGUGUUUCCCGGUUGACUGAAGCCCUCAGGCCUCAGUUUUCUCCUCUCCCGCUGGCUGCUACCCCACCCCCACCCUUUGCGGGCUUCCCUAACCCUUUGUUUGCAUCCUGACUUGUUUGCUUCCCUUCUGUGUUUAUCAGAAGCAAAUGCUAUUUUUCAUUAUUGUUGCACCGUGCCAUACCCUGUAAUUAUGUUUCACCGAGGAAGGACACAUGAAAGAAAUCAGACACUUCCCACCAACAGACAGAAGCAAACAACCUUCUGAGGGCUCUUACCUACUGCAGAGUUUAGUAGCCAUAGCUCAUCCAAUGAGUAAGACUCAUGGCAGAGACAGCUAAACACAAAUGUUUUAAGACAAACAAGCUAGGCUUGUGCUUUAAACCACAGUAAUUGAUAGCCCCACACAGACUAAGAUUCUAUUUCUCAAAGGAGAGCAUUUACUUAGAAUCUGGACAAUCUACAGAACCUGAGCUAAGAAUCAUUUUCAAUACCCCAGUUAGGCAUGUUUCCUCUUGACAUCACUGAUGUUUGGUUGUUUGUUUGGGUUUUUGGGUGUGUGUAUGUGUGUGUGUGUGUGUGUUUGAUUGCUUUCUGUUUUUGAAACUGCACUUCUCCAUGUGGCCCUGGCUGUCCAGGAACUCACUCUGUAGACCAGGCUGGCCUUGAACUCAGAGACCCACCUGCCUCUGCCUCCUGAGUGCUGGGAUUGAAGAUGUGUGCCACCACGGCCGGCUGAUGGUACUCUUAGUUUACUCUAUAGUAAGUAUCUCUCCACGAGAUUUCUAGUAUGAUUGCAGGUUCAGACAGAUGCUCAUGGAAUGUUGCUGCAUCAGGUUAUAAGCUGGAAACUUUGAUCAACAUGAAUUUCUGUACAACAUGAGAAUUAUUUACAUGAAAUAUGCUCAUUUUAUAUAUAUGUAAAUUUGGUGAUCCUGGGUAUUAAGCCGUGGAUCUCACAUUUAACGUGGCCUCUCCUCCACUGGGUCAAAUCACACAAUGCUGACUCACAAAAUACCUUUUAUAACAUGUUAAAAUAUGGGAUAAUAUGUAAUUUCUUAAAAAAUUAGAUUCUGCUGUACUGUUGGACUACUUUUCUCUUCAGAAAGUUCCAUCAACUUUUAAUAACUGGUACUUCCCUUACUUUUGUUUUGGAGCACAGGUUAAAGAAUUACCCCGCAACUUCAUUAUUAAAACUUUAUUAGAACAAUUAUCCUGUUAAUUGAUGGGCAGAUUCCAUUAAAUGGAAAUCAUUACAAAUACUGUCCUGUUUGGAAACCGAUAUUGGCUUCUAUGAUUAUGUUGGCCUAGUCUAAAGUAAAUUGACUAAGAGUGAUGGCUCCCUCAACUAAUCCCAGGACUCAGCACGCUGAGACUGGAUAAAGGAGUGUUCAAGACCAGCCUGGUCUACAGUGUUAGUUCAAGGCAAGCCUUGAUAGACUGGGGCAACAAACAGCUCUAAGUGCAAAAUGCUUGCUGAGCAAGUAUAUGCAGACUUCAGACUCCUCCAACCCUGAUCAAACUAGCUAGGCACAGCAGAGCCAAUAGACUCUCCUCAUACUUCUGCGGUGGGAUGGGAAAUGGAGACAAGAAGCUGGAGGGCUAGCCUGAUCUAUAGAGUGCUGAGAAUUGGGAGACAAGAAUCAACCAAGGAGGAGUGUGAGAAUCAGCAGCCAUAAUUGUUCUCAGAUUCCUAUGUGCCUGUCUGUUUGUCUGUCUCAAACUCUCUCUCUCUCUCUCUCUCUCUCUCUCUCUCUCUCUCUCUCUCUCACACACACACACACACACACACACACACACAUUUAAUGUUUAAUUCAUCAUAUCCCUGUCUCAAAAGGAAUACUUCUUUCUUUUUAUCAGGCAAGGCUCUUAAAAAUGACAUUAAUAAAAAUUAAACUUUCAUUAAUGAUAGUACCUAUUUUCUAAAUUUUUUUCACCCUAUUUCCAUUAAUCUGACAAACUGAAAACUAACCGAUAAAAGUCAGUAAGCCGAAUGAAUGAUUAGACCAAUUUCUUGGUUCAUACAAGAAAAAUAGAAGGAGAGAAUACUGUUCUCCUCUAUGGUCUAUGGCUCUCGAUAGACGACAUAUUUUACAAAGUAAAGGUCCUACCCCUUAUGCUUCCUAACAGGCCAAUGAAUCCACGCCCGGCUGAGUCCUUCAUGUUCACGCCUUAUUCAAACUCUACAGUUUAGUUUGGUCUGGAUUGGGUAAACAUCAUUUGAAGUCAUUUGCUCUGCAGAAGUUUGAGAAAUGUGACAACUGAGUUGUGUGGUUCAUCCUUUCACAGAAGCCACAGAUGCUGUUUUUCAAAAUAAAAAUGAAAUGGAAGAUUCUUCAGUUUUGCUCACUAACCUUGAAAAAGACCUAUAGAGAAAAAAAAAUCCAAAACUAGUCUGGUCCUAUGAAGGGUGUGUUUAUUUCCCCUUGGUUAAAGUUACAUUUAAGCUUUUGCUCGUGUUCCUUUGUUUGUGGAGGAGCAUCUUACUGAGUAGCCCUGGCUACCCUGGAACUUGCCUCUGACUCUGGAGUGCUGGGACUAAAGGUAUUCACCAUCAUACCAUCAUGCCCAGCCCUAAGAUCCACCGCCCUCUCCCACUUCCAUUCCCAGUCCUUUUUCCCUCCUCCUGCCUCCUCCCCCCAACCCCCCACUUCUCUCCAAGAGUCUUAUGCAUGCUGUGUGUUCUAACACUGAGCCAAGUGUGCCUUCCAACUUUCCAAGAGCAACAGAAAUGGGGAAGCUCUUAAGAGAUUGCCAAUACUGAGAACAACACCUAAUGAGGCCAGGGAGAACUCACUGAAUCCAAAGCCGGCCAGUUACUCCUCCUCCAUACCUGGCCCUGACAUCCUAGGGUCUUUCUCUGUCUUCUCCUCUCAACAGUAAGUAAUUUCACUCCAGGAUUACCACUCCCACAGAGACAUCCUUCCUUCCCAACUCUAUUGCACCUCCUCAAUGAAGAAUUCAACCGUUUUAAAGUGAAAUCACCUCAAGCAACAACCAUGUCCAUAUCCCCCACCUCAGUUCUGACAAAAAAAAUUCUUAUGAGGAAGAAGGGUCUCACGGUCUCUGAUAAGUACUGAAGAAAGAUAAUGAAAAAUCUCCUGUGGAAUGUUCCAGGUUCCCACCAUCAAUUGUAGUGAUACGAUAUAGGGCAGAAGGUAGAACUACAUCACUCUUGAACCAGCCUUCCCUUCCAGACAAAACAAUCAACUCAAGAGACAAAGACCUCAGGUCAACUGGGCAUAACUAAACUAUACUAUUAGUUAACAGGUGGGCUCCAAAUGCAGACACUAGUUUAUAAUUAAUUUUGUGAAAGUCUAGUCAUUCUCUGUAGUUAGAAAAUGAAUCUUGGGUUAGAGUCAGUCCCUCUACCCCUCAUUGGCAGAUUGUAGGGAUAAAGUAAUAGGCUAGAUUUCUUGGCUACCUAGAGAUACUUUUCUGUGAGGAUCCCACUUCGUGUAUUUAGUUGGGGUGGAAGUUGUGGGCAGGUCGAGAGAGAAAAAAGCACCACCUCUGUAUCAGAUGCUGACGUUCCAAGGUUUCUUUCUCUCAGGACAGGAGUGUGCUGAUGUGUGCUGGUAGCUGCCGGGUAGUUUAGGGCCUGCAUCUCUUUUUGCCUACUGAUGUCCAAGCCCAAGCAGAUGAGCUAUGCCUUAUUAAAUAUUUUUCUUUUUUUCUCUAUUUUAAUCUUCCUCCAAGAGUGCUGGAGAGUAAGCGGGACCAGCAUGGGGCCCCUGGAUUGAUCUCUGUUUGUUCCUUCUAAUCCCGCCUAUAGUAGAUGUUCUUGCCUGGAACAGUUUGUUUUUAGAUCUGAGAGAGCCCUGGGUUUCCCAUCACCACCUUACAUGGAAAUGUGUAGACUGUAAGAAUAAGUUCUUUAGAAAAGUGAGCUAGAGUUUUUGUUGUUGUUGUUAUUCUUGUUGUUUUUUUAAGUGUGUGUUUCAGCCUUGGCAGUGGAUUCUUUGGCAGUUGUGUGGCCCAGAGGGAACCAGACGCAGAGAAAAGUCAAGCCAGGUAUGUUGUGCCUGCCUGCACCUGCUUCUGAUGUACCCCACUGCCUGCAUCCAAGUCCUGUGCACUGGGCUAGAAUAAUGUGGAAAUGGCAGGUGUGCAUGGAGUAUCUGCCUGCCCAUCAGCUCUGUGAUAAAUCGGGAAAAUAAUGGCAUAGAGAAGUUAACUUGCCCAACCAUGAACAAAAUAUUAGAAGCUGCAUCUUUGAGACUGUGUAAGCGUAUGUUCAGGCCGGGCACAGGUCUCAGUUUUCAAAAAAGCAGCCUUACACAGCAGCCUAAUCUAUCAAUUACAAGCAAAUAUGUUUGCUGUGAUUCGGGCAAGACAACAUCGGCUGCACCCUUCCUCAUCCUCUCUACGACACCUUCAGCACCGUCAUGCAGUUUGGCCUGCUCUUCAGAGAGGGAAACCCUGUGACCUACAAAAUGCUGUAGCCCCAGCCCACUCUGUAUUCUUCACCUUGGUAAAUAAUUCACUCAACAAACAUACUGUGUAGCUAUUGAGUGCUAGACUCGAGGAAUACAAAGAUAAAUAAACACUGUCUGUCAUGAGGAAGCUCGAGCGAGAGGAGGAAGACAGGGAAGAUAAAAGUCAAAGAGAGCAGGCACUGUUGUAACAGGAUCCUUCCUUCAGGUCCGUCCACCCAAGAGAGAAAAAGGCUUGUCCUUUUAGCAGAUGGGAAAAGUAAAGUCUGAAGGGAGGGAGGCCCUGUCAUGCUUCUCUUGAGAAAUGCAAAGAGAAGUGACACCUGGUCUCGGGAAUGCCAAAACCUAGGGAAUGCAUGCAGCCCGCACGCAGUUUGUUGUAAAUCUGCAGAAGCAUAAACUCUCUAUACAGAGCAGGAUUCAAAAUGUAAAUCGCUUCAAUCAAAAGGGAAAAUUCCAUAGAAACCUACAGGUUAAGCUAUUAGAAGUAUCUCCAUCGGAGCACCACCCUUCAGAAGCACGAUUAAACUCCUAAUAUCUCUGUCCCUGUUCCCAGUCUCUUUCAGAUACAGGGGUAGCCGUUCAGAUUUCCAGUCCACCGAGGUAGAAGCAAGCCUCCCUCCCGGCUAUUCGUAGAGAAUAAUAAGGUGUGGGUGAGAUGUACCUGCCUAAGAAGGGGGCUGUCUAACAGUUGUAAUGAGCUGUGAUGUUAUCCCCAAUGAGCUGUGUGUGAGAGACCUUAGGCAAAUCAAUUAACCUUUGCUGGUUACAAUUUGCUCAUCAGUAAAAAUAGAGGUUUUGGACCUUUCAUUCCCAAGGGCUCUUCUUCGUUGUCGAGGUGUCGCGUCAGCACCUUGAGAGGCCACUCUGCUGAGUGGGAGGUUUGAGCAGCCUCAGAAUCAACCUGCCAUUCCGAACCUGCCGAGUAUUCCAUGGGCAUGGCAAUAUUAAAGCUAGAGGGAACCUUCCCGAUUUCUUGGGCACAAAGAAUCAGGAAUGUUUCUUCGCAUAAAACAUUGAAUUUGUGUGAGUGUAUGUUCAUGUCUGUCUGUGGAGACUAGAGAUCAACCCUGAGUUCUGCCUUGUUUGUUGAGACAGGGCCCUUCUCUGACCUGGGACUCAUCAGUAACAGCUCGACUCCCAGCAAGCCUCAAGGGAUCUAUCUGCCCAUCUUGGCUUCUCCGGCAUUGGGAUUGAGUGCCUGGCACCAUCCCUGGUUCUUCUGCAUAGGUUAAAAACGGCCGACUCAGGACCUCAGGCAGACACUUUAUAACUGAAAUAUUAACCCAAUAAAUAUUAAUUGAUUUUAGGCCUCUAUUUUAAUUAUAAUUAGGCCAAGCAGAUUGGGAGGUUAGCAAAUAGGCCUUACUAGUUAGAAGCUAUGAACCUGCAUAUACCUCCACUGACCCAUGAUGGAGAGACACUGGAGAAAAUUCUCGGUGAAUGUAAAUGGCAGGCCCGACAUGAGAUAAGAAUUUAGGUCUGUACUGUACCCUUUCUGGCCAGGGGAGGUAAGAGAUUCUUUCCUCCUACAGAGCACAAAAUUGAUACCACAGCAACACACCUUGGCAUUGGGGAUUUUAGUCUCCAGGUAUCUGCAGAAACUUGAAUUCCUUGGAAAGCAAAACACUCACAAUUUCUUGACCAGCCUUGCUGAUAAUUUCAUUUCCCAGAAGGCAGAGUAAGCAUUAAGGAGACUUCUGCUCAGGACCCAAUUCUGACAGAAAGCAGUAGGUAAAGUAGAAAUGAUUGGAACCUUGGGGGAAAGCAGCCAUGCAGGCUCCGAGUUUGAUUUAAACAGUGUUCUGCCUAUGCAAACACAAAUGGUUCUAAUGAGCAGGAAAACGGGGAGGAAACUAAAGGAACCAGCACGCCACACGGGGACUUGCUGACAGCCUCUGAAUCUCAAGCAGCAUGUGCAAGAGACGGGGAGAGGGGCACACAAGAGGGAACACAUACGGAAGCAGGAAUGGAGGAAGGCAGCGUGGACCUGUAAGCCCUCAGCAAGACUGGGGCACAGAAUGAGCCGAGGCUCCUGGAGGAUGCUGGAAAGAAGCAAAAAACGCUGUUGCUUGGCACAGAAUCAGGGGAAACAGCAACCAAGGAACAGACCCAGACCUUGACACGGAAGACUAAUUCAUUCAUGAAAGUAGGAAAGCAGAUGCAAAAGAAGUGCAUCCUUUUGUGCAUCUUCCCUUUAGGUCAUCCACCCCUUGGCUCACGUGUCACCUCCUCGGAGAGGACCUUGACCACACCUUUGGAAAACAGUUUCCCCUGAUAUCUUUUUGCCCUUUGACUUUUCAGUCUCCUGGCUGCUGGUGCCGUCAUCUUACGCACUGAAAUGUUUGCUUUCUGUCCCGGAAUUUAAGCUCCGCUUGGAAAGGGACCUCUGUUCUCGCUCAUGCCUGUCUAGGACCUUGCACAUAACAAGCAGUACUCGGUGGGCAUGAGCUCGGCGAGUGGAGUCAGUACCACAAGGCUAGCUUUGUAAACAGAGAAAUAUAUGAAGGCACUGGACAACUUCCACAGAACAUAGACAACGUGAUUGACAUGGUGGCAGGUAGUAUGAGUAACCACUUGUGUGCUCUAAUUACCAUACUGACUCUCUGCAUCUUGGGAUAUUCCUGAGUUACUUCUCAAUAAGCUUUCAACCGCAGCAGUGCACACCCAGCUAACAUGGGAGCCAUGAGCGUCAAGGAUGGGUCUCAGUAUAGAACUUAUAUUCUCCACCCGAGGAGCUGACUGGCUGAGCUGUCAGCAUGUCUCUCGAGCUCUAUGAAUCAUUACCAGACACUUUCUCAGUGAUAGGGUGAAAAGUGUGACCGGCUGUCUUUAUCAAAUCAGGGUUGUCAGGAGGCACAGGGAAGAAUAUCCCUGAUCUUAGAAGAAAAACAAAACAUGCAGAGCCUGAGAAUUUAGGUCUAAGACAGCGGUGUUAUUUUAGGGAGGAUGGCUAAGUUAUAUUUAUAUAAACAUGAAAAACAUUGUGGUCAUUUUAUAAGAUUAAAAAUCAGGAAAACUAUUCCCCUAAGAAAGAAUAAGCUAGCUUGUUUGAGUCUAUAUAUCAUUUCCUGGAAAAGUUAGUAAACAAUUUAGCUUUGUAAUGGGUACAAUGUGCGGAUUUUGGCCUGGCCUCUGAAGUCCUUCUAUCCUUGUGAGCUGGAUGGGAAACGUCAGGCUUAGGGAUAAUUCUGUAGUGUGCUUUUUACCUAGUUGGAGGAUUGCCCCAAUCGCAGUGUUAAUGAAACGGCAUCUACCUAGAGAAAGCUUUCAGAUUGAUACCACAAGGCCUUUGUCUCUCUCCUUGUCUGAUGUGAGCACGUUUGUCAGUGACGGGAGAUAAAGCAAGAGGAAGGCAUGGCUGUCAAAAUCGGGUUACAGGAGAACAAGAUGAUACAGUAGAUUACGAAAUCAGGGGUGCAUACAUGUUCUCAGCAACUGAAAGAUGCAUAAAAUUUAAUAAUAUAUAAUUUGGUUAGAGUAAUUGUGUGGGCCUGCCUGGGGACUAAAACGCCAACUGCCUAAAUUUGGUUUGAAGUCUAUGUGACUUAGCAACAGUACUCCUGGGGGAAGAGAAAGAGAAGAGAGCCUUGCCUGGCAGAGAGCCACGGGGGUGAUGGUUGCAAACAACAAGACAGAAGUAGUUGAGACUGUGUGAUAAAUUUAGAGCAUUCAGAAAAUAAUGGAGGGUAUAGUUAGUCCAGCCCCACUUUCAGUGGCUUAGACUGCCAUGCUCGGUUCUGGAAGCAGCGUUUGAAGGAAGGGACCAGUGGAAGAGACAAACCCCCAGGAUCCAGCAGAGAGAAUGGUAGACUUCACUGUCUCCUGUGAGAGAAGACUGAAAAGGUUGGGGAUUUUUAUGCCAUAAAAGAAUUACACUUAAUCAUUUUAUCAUAAUAGCGUCAUGAUUUUAAUCACUAGUGAGGAGUGACUGUUUUCUAGAUGCUGUGUUAACCAUUUUGCUUUAAUUAAUGCUCACAACAACUCUAGGACAUGAGUUCAGAACUAUUUUUAUAUUCAAGGGUACAAAGUGAUUUUAGGUGAUAAAUGCUAGACAGACAUCAAAGCUUAAAUUUUAACCCAUUGUCUUCUCAGUCCUUAAGUCUGAUCUUCCUCACCACAUGCAAACUAAUUACCCAUAACGUAGGCCCAGAUAUUAAGAAGUGUGUAUACGUUUCUAUUAUGUAUGAUAAAAUUAUGUGAAAUAUCAGAAAAUCAAAAUAAUAUGCAGACAAAAAGAGACUGGAAAUAGACAUAUCAACGUUUUAACAACAGUUAUACUAAGGUACUGAGAAAAAUCACCUUUCUUUUAUUUAUUUCUUUUAAGUUUGGAAAACUUUUUUACUAAGCUUAUCUUGAUUUUGUAAAACUCCCACCUGCAGCUUUUGAAUUAAAAAAUAAUUACUAUGUCAAAGAGGAAUUAGUUUAUUUUAGAUGCCCAAAAGGAGUUGUAUUAAGAUUAAAACACCUAAAAGCAUUAUAAGACACAUUUCAAUAUAAAAACAGAACCACUUAUAGUCGAUUUUUUGAAGAGUUGAUUUUUUUAAAUUAAUUAAUUUCUUAGAGGCAGAGCCUCAUGUAACCCAUAUACACCUUAAACUCUCUUUAUAGCUAAAUAUGGCCUUGGAAUGUCACCCUUCUGUUUUGCAUGUUGAAUGCACCACAGUUUCUUUAUACAGAGCCUGAGGCUGAACCCAGGCUUCAUACCUGCAAGGUAAGUGUCCUCCGAGCUGAGACUCAUCCCCAGUUCUAGAGACAGUGUCUCGAUAACAUAACUCACGCAUUCCUUUCUCAGGAGAUGCCGACAAAAGUCUGGGAGCAGCUUGGCAUCAUUUGAUUCCAUCCAGAUUACAAUUUAUAAAGCUCAGAAUGUCCAAAGUACGAGCCAGGAAAAAAAAAAAGAAGAAGAAGAAGCCAAAGAGUAAUUGUUGAAUAUUUCAUUUUUAUUUUUUACUGAGACCUUACAGACUGCAAGCAGAUCUAGUAAAAUAUUUCUCUACUGAGUACAAGGGACACUCAGCAUCGGGAGAGCACAGCACAGGUAGCUCUUCACUUCUGCAGCAGUCUGUUUGCACAGGAUGCAGGGAUGGGCAACAGGAGCCAGCCUCACUUGCUCAAUCAAGUCCCAGGUGGCCCCUGGCUCCUGGGAUCUGAGUGCAAGUGGUAGCCCUGAGAAGUGACCUUUGGCAUGACCUUGUAUCCUAUGCACACCUUUGCCUCUAUGCAGGCUCCCACACAUGCCACUCCCACCUUCUGAGUUUCUAAAUAGAUAACCAAAUGAGCAUACUCAUUUACAUAUUGUUAUGGAUCCUGAACUCAGUCUCACAAAUGUGAGGCGAACAUUCGACCACUGAGUUCCACUUUACACACACACAGACAAACUAACACUUAUGUUAUCUAAGUAAAACGUUCUAUAAACACAAGAAGGAUGCCUUUUUUUUUUUUUUACAUUUUCCUAGAUUAUAUAACACUUAAAAUACUAGGCACAAAACAAAUAUUUAGUGACUUAAUCAAUUUGGCAGAUAGGCACAACAAGCUUUUGCUUUUGAAUCUAAGGAUGAUCAACAAGACUCUGAUUUUAUACAGAGUGAAGUUGAAUGCAUCACAAUUGUAUUAUUUGUUUCUCUUCUUUUUUAAUGUUUUAUUUAUUCAUUCAUUCAUUUAUUUAUGUGAGUAUACUGUCACUGUCUUCAUGCAUACCAGAAGAGGGCAUCGGAUCCCAUUACCGAUGGUUGUGAGCCACCAUGUGGUUGCUGGGAAUUGAACUCAGGACCUCUGGAAGAGUAGUCAGUGCACUUAACCACUGAGCCAUCUCAGCCCCCUUGUUGCUCUUCUCUAUAAACUCACGUUCUUAUCUUGAGUCGAUACUAAAACCUAUUCCCCUUCUCAUUAAACCAGGUUUCACAGCUUUUGAUUGCCUAUGAAUCCAAAAUUUAAGGCAGAAACAGGAGGACAGAGUUCAAGGUCAUCUUAGAUCACCAAUUGAGUUCCAGGCCAUCCUUGUAUAAAUCGGAUCCUAUCUCAGCAUCAGUCAAUCAGUUACCCCAAACUUUUGAUGCACAGCUCUAGUUAGGAACCAUAGACAGCAGACUUCAGCUGGGUAAAUAGUGCAGAGCUGAUUUUGCUGCCAACGAUCCAGGGAGUUUACUAGAAAACUAUGGAUGCUUUCAUCAGAAUGGAAAGAAGCUGAGUUUUGCUAGAAUACUUCAGGCAUGAAGAACAGAACCUAUACUAAGCCAGUCAUCUUGAAAGUGGGGGAGCUUUGUACAUGGUUGGCAAGCACUCUACCUACGUACGCUGCAACACCAGCCACACAUUGUUCAUGUAAUGUACUAGUUUCUUGUUUAAGCUAAACAGAAAAGUCAUUUUGUAGUUAUUGUUUAUUUGUUACUAUUGAGUUUUGCCAUGGUAGCACUCAGCUGACGAGAACACUCUCCAUAUUCAGCCUCUCCAACAUUGGAAUCACAGGCCCAUGUGCCACCCCACCCCACCCAGACAGGACUUCCUUUUGAUUCAAAAGGUACAAUUUAGGGACUAAUUUGAACUAUAAGUUUUACCCUCCCGGACUGGGACUAUAGCUUAAGGUCACGGGCCACUUUGAACAGGCAGUAUUGCCCACUGAGCUAUGUUCCUUGAGCACCAAGGUCCUGCACUAAGACCCAGGAUGCUGAUUGGGUCCCUUCUGGGGAUGACGUUCCCUGUUGAUGGACAUCGCUGCUCUCCUCAUCACAGCAAGCCAUGCGCACCCUGCUCAGUGCUUCAAGGAUAAAGGUGUUUCAGUACUCAGCAACCUUUUGGGUGAAAAAUUAGUCCUUAAAUCAGUACAGUGAGGAAAUCUAAUGACUCCCAAUAUCACGAAAGAUGAAAACUUAAAGCAAGUAAAUGAGAAGGGAAGAACUUCUAACUCAGUGUAACAUGUGUUCAAAACACCUCUUACUUGAUGGGGAAAUAUCUGAAGCCUUUGCUACCUAGGGUAGCAUACAUAAAGAUGAGGAAAAAACAAUUGAACAGAAGAUAGUCUUCUAUCUGGAGAAAAGUAUAAAAAUGAAUAGAAACAGGUUUACUGAGUACAAAUUAUUAAGAAGUUACAUGCGA
rnacentral:lncRNA from 1 species